rnacentral:rRNA from 1 species
UACGGAGGGUGCAAGCGUUAUCCGGAUUCACUGGGUUUAAAGGGAGCGCAGGUGGUCUGGUAAGUCAGUGGUGAAAUCUCCGGGCUUAACCCGGAAACUGCCGUUGAUACUAUCAGUCUUGAAUAUUGUGGAGGUAAGCGGAAUAUGUCAUGUAGCGGUGAAAUGCUUAGAUAUGACAUAGAACACCGAUAGCGAAGGCAGCUUGCUGCACAAUGAUUGACACUGAGGCUCGAAAGCGUGGGGAUCAAACAGG